rnacentral:rRNA from 1 species
GAGUUUGAUCUUGGCUCAGGACGAACGCUGGCGGCGUGCUUAACACAUGCAAGUCGAACGGUGAGGCUCCAGCUUGCUGGGGUACACGAGUGGCGAACGGGUGAGUAACACGUGGGUGACCUGCCCUGCACUUCGGGAUAAGCCUGGGAAACUGGGUCUAAUACCGGAUAGGACCGCACCGUGAGGGUGUGGUGGAAAGUUUUUUCGGUGUGGGAGUGGGCCCGGCCGGCCUAUCAGCUUGUUGGUGGGGUAAGUGGCCUACCAAGGCGGCGACGGGUAGCCGGCCUGAGAGGGUGGACGGCCACAUUGGGACUGAGACACGGCCCAGACUCCUACGGGAGGCAGCAGUGGGGAAUAUUGCACAAUGGGCGGAAGCCUGAUGCAGCGACGCCGCGUGGGGGA